rnacentral:misc_RNA from 1 species
AAGUCGUAACAAGGUUUCCGUAGGUGAACCUGCGGAAGGAUCAUUAAAAAAUGAGGUAUUUAUACCUCUUGUAUUUAAAACCCAACUCUUCAAAAAUAUAUAUAUUUUUUUAAAAAAAAAACUUUCAACAAUGGAUCUCUUGGCUCUC